GUAUUGACUGCCGAAGACAGCAGGUGCCGCAAGGCAUAAGGUGUAAACGCCUGCCGAGGAACGUACAAGUAUCGUUUUAACGAAUGAUCUGUAGACCUCUCUGUCCUUGUGGCAGAGAGGUUUUUGUUUU
rnacentral:sRNA from 1 species